AUCCAGCUGACGAAUCCCAGAUAGAAUGAAACGCGCGUCCUGGAU
rnacentral:hammerhead_ribozyme from 1 species